AUUCCAGCUCCAAUAGCGUAUAUUAAAGUUGUUGCGGUUAAAAAGCUCGUAGUUGGAGUUCUGCCAGGUGCCGCCUGUCCGCCCCAGUGGUGAGUACGUGGCGCGCAUUUGGCCCUUUCAAGGGGAGCGUAUCUGCACUUUAUUGUGUGGUGCGGGAUCCUUGACUUUUACUUUGAGGAAAUAGGAGUGUUCCAAGCAGGCUCUCGUCGUGCACAGCUCAGCAUGGAAUAAUAGCAUUGGACCUCGAUUCUAAGCUGUUGGUUGCCAGAAGCGAGGUAAUGAUUAAUAGGGAUAGUUGGGGGCAUUAGUAUUUAUUAGCUAGAGGUGGAAUUCUCUAAUUUGAUAAAGACUAACUUAUGCGAAAGCAUUUGCCAGGGAUGUUUUCAUUA
rnacentral:rRNA from 1 species